GCCCACGUGGCCUAAUGGAUAAGGCGUUUGCCUCCUAAGUGGAAGAUUGUGGGUUGGAGUCCCACCGUGGGUG
rnacentral:tRNA from 1 species